ACUCAAAGGAAUUGACGGGGGCCCGCACAAGCGGUGGAGCAUGUGGUUCAAUUCGACGCAACGCGAAGAACCUUACCUGGGCUUGAACUGUCUCGGAAAGCACUUGAAAGGGUGCCGUGCCCGCAAGGGAAUCGAGAUAGAGGUGCUGCAUGGCUGUCGUCAGCUCGUGCCGUGAGGUGUUGGGUUAAGUCCCGCAACGAGCGCAACCCUUGCCCUUAGUUGCUACCAGAUAAUGCUUGAGCACUCUAGGGGGACCGCUAACGAUAAGUUGGAGGAAGGUGGGGAUGACGUCAAGUCAGCAUGGCCUUUAUGUCCAGGGCUACACACGUGCUACAAUGGGCGGUACAGAGGGUCCCAAACCCGCGAGGGGGAGGCAAUCCCUAAAACCGCUCCCAGUUCGGAUUGCAGUCUGCAACUCGACUGCAUGAAGCUGGAAUCGCUAGUAAUCGCGGAUCAGCACGCCGCGGUGAAUACGUUCCCGGGCCUUGUACACACCGCCCGU
rnacentral:rRNA from 1 species